rnacentral:lncRNA from 1 species
GAAAGGGAAAACAUUUGUUCUCCAAUUAAAGGCAAAAUAUAUUUGGAAAUAUUGGUCAAAUUUUACACUUUAAAAAUUUGCCUAGGGUUUUUCUGUCAUCACCUUAUCUCAUUUGAGUGAUGAUUAGAAAUUUUUGUAGAGUCUAAUUCCAGUAAUAAUCAUUUCUCUUUGUCACUGGAGAGUCUUUCCCUCCUUCCGUGACUGCAUGGUCUCUGAGGGGACUAUCUAUUGGGAUAAACCAAUUACAAGGACAGAGAUUUAAUUAUUGUGGUUGGCAGAAUAUGGUCCUUCAAAAAACCUGGACUACAGAUCAAAGCAGCUAAAAGUGUAAAUUCCACCCAAUUAACGAGACUAGUGUCUGAAAUACUUCAUACGGAUGACCAACUUCACUCGCUUCUUAAGUUAUUUGGGAUAACCUUGGUGGAGUUUUCUCCUCCACAUCCUGAGAGAAGCUGUUCUCUGAAAUGAAUAAUUCUGCAUUCAAAAGAGGUUUUUGAGAGAAGCUGGGCACUAAAACAGAUUAAGAUGAACCGAAGACACAGAAAACCAUUAUGUUCACAGAAUAAACAGUUUUAGUCAUUUAAUGUUCUAAAAAAUGUAUUCGUCUGUGACGUGCUGCUUUCACCACUAAAAGGUCUCCUGUUAAAUAUGCGCAUGUCUCCACAUUGGGCCACUGAUACCCACAGGACA